rnacentral:hammerhead_ribozyme from 1 species
AUUCAACAGACGAGUCCCGAAUAAGACGAAACGUGCGUCCUGGAC